rnacentral:sRNA from 1 species
GGAGUACUCAUUUGAUUUUUCUUCAAAGUAAGCUUCUUUCUGAUCAACAGAGUAGUCUUCUUCUUCUGAACCUGGCUCCUUUGACCAAUCCUCAAAUUCAAAAUUGGGGUAGCCUUUAAUCAUUUCUUAAAGUUCCAAGAUUGCAUGGUUCAGUCCUUCCAUUUUGUAAGUUAGCUCCCCAAUGGUAUCCUCUUGAGCUUUGUAUUCUAUCCUGAGUUCUAGAAGUUAUUCAGUAACAUAAUCAAGUGUCAAGUGUUCUUCUUCAGCAGAGGGGUAGGUGGGCUGUUUAGGCACUCCCGGAGAAUAAGUUAGAAUAGGAGUUUCCUCCUCACUCAACAACUUGCUCUCUAGGCUUCUUUCCUCUAAGUGAACUCCUUUCAGAUCUUCUGGUGCAAACCAUGCUGUUGUGAAAUUUUCAUCUUCCUUGACAGCUAGUGCAGUUUCCAUCUUCUCUUCGUCAAUACCAUCUGAAAUCUUUUUAACUCUUUUUUCAAACAGCCAAAGUUGAUCCUUCAGCUUCAUCACCCUUGAAAAUAAUCCCUCUAUGACUCUGCUUUACCAUUCAAAAUUUUUUUCUCAUCUCAUACCAGUCAUCUUCUGUAGGAUCUUCAAUCUAAAAUAGUGUUUCUGUUGCUCUCUUCUUGUGGUCAAAAGUUCUCUUCAGCUUGCUAAGUUGAGAAGUAUAAUUGACUUUUGGUGAGGUUUCAGC